rnacentral:rRNA from 1 species
CCUACGGGGGGCAGCAGUCGGGAAUAUUGCGCAAUGGAGGAAACUCUGACACAGUGACGCCGCGUGCAGGAAGAAGGUUUUCGGAUUGUAAACUGCUUUAGACAGGGAAGAAAAAAGACAGUACCUGUAGAAUAAGCUCCGGCUAACUACGUGCCAGCAGCCGCGGUAAUACGUAGGGAGCAAGCGUUAUCCGGAUUUAUUGGGUGUAAAGGGUGCGUAGACGGAGAAGCAAGUUAGUUGUGAAAUCCCUCGGCUUAACUGAGGAACUGCAACUAAAACUACUUCCCUUGAGUACUGGAGAGGAAAGUGGAAUUCCUAGUGUAGCGGUGAAAUGCGUAGAUAUUAGGUAGAACACCAGUGGCGAAGGCGACUAUCUGGCUGUACAUUGACGCUGAGGCUCGAAAGCAUGGGGAUCAAACAGGAUUAGAUACCCGGGUAGUC